UGCAAAGCGGCGCUCAUCCUGCCCGGAUUCAUGCAAAAGGGAAGAAAAGAAGGAGCGGAAAGGACGCGCGUCCCCGAUGCUGUGAUUCCCGGGACACCGGAGCGGGAACGGGUUCUGAUGGGACUACAGACCGCAUGAGAUGUGCAGAGAGACGCGCUGGAUCUGGAACUGCUGAUAUCUCCAGUGCGUCCGUGCACGAUCACCGCCGGAUCCAAGCAAGCGUGCGUUCAGGACGUGAACGCAGAGCAAUCCUCUUUUGAUCGGCCAGAAAAUAUGAUGAUUUUAACUAUUCAAAGUUCACUCCUGCAUCAAAACAGAGGAAACCAUCAGUCACAGUCUGCCCCGGUGAGAUGCGGGCCUUUCUCCCGAGUCUGCAGCUCGUGAAUUUAAUCAGGCAGAAACAAAAGCUUGUAAUGAGAGUGAAACUCUGGAAAUGUGGCCUCGGGAGAGAUUUGAGGAUCAGCUGGCUGGCUGUCUCCCUCUGGUGGUCACUUCUGGCACUACAAGGAGAAAACCCCUGCGUCCAGCCCGGGUCGGGCUCCACAGGUUUCCCCUCACAGAGGAAACCUGAGGCUGUGCUGCAGUCUGCUCCUCAGGCCAGGCGGUGGAUUUCUGUUCCUCUGCUUGAAGAUCUUCAACAUCGACAUCCAUCUUUCCCCGACUGCAGCUGAUGUGUUGAAAUCACUUUGGAUCAACUUGAAAUGUGUGUGUGAGAUACACUUUAUCGACUUGAACACUUUUACUUUUUUUUUUUGGUAACAAUCAAUCAAUCAAUCAAUCAUUACUAACUUAAAGACAAUUACCCUACAACCCCCCCCCCCCCCCUAAAAUCUGAAUGAUUCAAAGUGACUUUGUGUGUGACUGUGUUGCAGAUUUAUUCAGAAUAUUUUGUGUUGUCUUCAGAAUGACCUCGUAUUUGGGAUAUGAGUUAUAUAAUAAUCUGUAUGUGUCUCAUCAAGUUUUUUCUUCUUCUGUUCAUGCACUUUGUUAAAGCAAUCAUGACAUGAAAAUAUAAGAUUUUUCCUGCAAUUUUAAGUGUAAAUUGACAAUCUGCACGAUGGCAUUAACACUGCACAAUGCCACAUGAUGAAUAACCCUUCAGGUUCAUUUGGUUCGACUGGAGCUCCACUGUCCUGUAAAAACAAUGAACUAACUAGAAAUCUCCAGAUGUCUGCUUAUCUAAUGAUCCGAAGAAAGUUUGGACUGUGAAAUGAUGAUUGAAAUGAUCCCCAAAUACAUUAAUGUGUUCAUAGAUUUUCAAUUUUUUUAGUUUAAAUCUGUAGACCUGACUUUGUAAAGUAGCAUUAAUUAGUUUAAAUUCGAUACAGACCAAUGAUUUUUUUCUGAUUUCACAAUGUGAGGAAGCGUCUCUGAUACAGCAGAACAGAGUAAAGUAUACAAAGUAUCUUA